GCUGGAUGUGGGGGAGGGCAGUGCAGAAGAGAAGGCUAAUCAUCUAACUCAGGAACUGCAUGGAGGCCUAAAGAAAGAACAGUACAUUCUUAGCACAGCUUGUGCUUCACAGUCUUCAACAAUCCAAUGUGCUAAGCAGAUAACAGCAUUGGCAACGUUAGUCUCACUUUUUGGAUGAAACAAUGGCUCCCAUCUGUGGACUUACAGGUCUUUUCCACAGAGGCUGGGCAGGUCUGUGGCAGAACUGGCAGAGGGGCACCGCCCCUGCCCGACACUUCCUUGUUUAAAGGGGCUCUUGUGGAACUUUUGGAACUUGGAAUAGAACCCCUGGAAAUCACCUCCUCAUUUUCAGGAGAGGAUCAAGACCCUGAGUCUGGUGACGUUUGCAUGACUGGUGCCAGAAGAACAAUGAGCCAGGCUGGGGAACUUCAGCUGAAGAAUGUAGAUGCUACCAAGCUCAGCACCCAAUGGCUUCUAAUAAAACCCAAGUGACACUCUGGCAGAAAUGGAGCCCUUACCCAUUCAUCAACGAGUAAAUGGCUUUCUCUUUUCACCAGUUAACUUAGCAAAUAGCCACUGGAAACCUCUUCUGUAUUUGCAGAGACCUCUAUGUGGGGUUUAGAAGAAUAGAUUCUUGCUCUCAAAACUCUGCAGUCUCAGAAGGGAAGACUGUUCAAACGAGCCAAUUUAAUGCUAUACUGUUAUAGAAAUUGGGUAAGAGGGACAGAGAAGGCCUUAGGAGGAGACUCCUUGUGUGUGUGUGUGUGUGUGUGUGUGUGUGUGUGUGUGUGUGUGUAUGUGCCUGGGGUGGAGGGUAUAUCAUAUCAAUUUCUAUAUAGACAUAAACUAUCUUACCAAGAAAUACUUGGUGUGUUUCUACAUUUUCAGUGAGCUCCCUUGAAUGUAUAUCCUGGUGACUUUUGGGGAAUAUAUCUAGCCAGUUAACUUCUAGCACUGGAAUUGUUUGGUUAAAGGGAGAACAUUUCCAAAUUUAUUUUCCAAGAAGUUUGCGCUGGUUUCCUCUCCCUCCCUUUUCCUCCCUUCCCCACACAUCCCCCAGGUCCUUAACAGCUGGCUGCAACAAGCAUCUUGUACGAGGAUGCUGAGUCACUUCAGUUGUGUCCGACUCUUUGCGGCCCAAUGGACCAUAGCCCACCAGGCUCCUCUGUCCAUGGGAUUCUCCAGGCAGGACUACUGGAGUGGAUUGCCAUGCCCUCCUCCAGGGGAUCUUCCUGACCCAGGGACUGAACCCAGGUCUCUUACGUGUCCUGCAUUGACAGGUGAGUACUUUACUACUAGCGCCACCUGGCUGGCAGGAUCUGCUUCCUGACUGAGGGUCAGACCCACAC
rnacentral:lncRNA from 1 species